rnacentral:rRNA from 1 species
UACCAGCACCCCGAGUGGUCGGGACGUUUUAUUGGGCCUAAAGCAUCCGUAGCCGGUUCUACAAGUCUUCCGUUAAAUCCACCUGCUUAACAGAUGGGCUGCGGAAGAUACUAUAGAGCUAGGAGGCGGGAGAGGCAAGCGGUACUCGAUGGGUAGGGGUAAAAUCCGUUGAUCCAUUGAAGACCACCAGUGGCGAAGGCGGCUUGCCAGAACGCGCUCGACGGUGAGGGAUGAAAGCUGGGGGGAGCAAACAGG